CUUUAUUUCUUUGCCCUUAUGCUCCAUUUUUAACCCCACAUAUAUCUGUAUAUAAGAUUAGUAUAACUUUUUACUAUGUCAAUCUUUUGGUAGAUUAAAGUAACGCCCAUUCUGAAUACAUUAUUCUUAACCAAUGGUAGCACUUGAAGUCUUUAAUUUGGAGGUAAAACACGGUAGCGCCCUGAUUCUACACACUUGAAAAAGCUGGAAACGAAAAUAUACGUUGACAUUCAUGCAUUUGUGCAAGAAACAUACACUGGAACUGCUAUUAGUCGAAUAAAAACAUUCAAAUUAGUACUUAAUAUAG
rnacentral:lncRNA from 1 species